CACACAGCACGCUAGUUUAAAAGGGCUUAUUACCUUCCCUCACUCAGGGGCUCUGAUUCAGCAGUUCUCAUUGAACAUUUAGGAACUCAACUGCUCUUGUCCUUCCAGAUGUCAGCUGCUUGUCCUCUAUCCAAUUCUAUGUGAAAAUACAACAGAAACUUAUGGCAGAGAAUUACUGUGUAGUUACCAAGUCCUAUUUUAUUUUCCCUCUAGAAACACAGACCACAUUUCCCUCUGGCCUUAAAAUCAGUUGAACUAUGGAACUGAUUUCUGGACAGGAGUGAUCAAUGUCACACCCAGGCCAGGCCCAUAAGAAGACCCAGGCAAUCCUCUUUGCCCUCAACCUUUUCUCAUUUAUCAGCCAGAUGUAGACCAUGCAGAAGACAAUCUGAGAACACUGGAGAUAAGGGAAUUACUCAGUGCAAGGAGCUUCUACCUCUAAGUGACUGCCUGGGGCAGGUGCCCUGGCUCCAACAUGCUCUGGUCCAAAAAAAAAAAGAUAGGCCCUUCAUUGGCUGCUAAGUGUGGCCACCAUGUCCCAGGAUGGCUCAAAACCUCAAGGUGUGAUACGCAGAGCACAAGAACGUGCAUGUGACUGAGACAUUGUCCCUGCCCCGAGCAUCUCACAGACCAGUGAUAGAGGCAAAUACAAACAAGUGCAAAGUGUCUCUGGUAGAAGUAAACCAAAGAAAUGUGGAGUCUAUCCACACCACAGAGUGGACAGAAUAAUGGGCUUUAAUG
ensembl:lincRNA